UACGUAGGGGGCAAGCGUUGUCCGGAUUUAUUGGGCGUAAAGAGCUCGUAGGCGGCUUGGCAAGUCGGGUGUGAAACCUCCAGGCUCAACCUGGAGACGCCACUCGAUACUGCUAUGGCUAGAGUCCGGUAGGGGACCACGGAAUUCCUGGUGUAGCGGUGAAAUGCGCAGAUAUCAGGAGGAACACCGGUGGCGAAGGCGGCUCUCUGGUCCAUGUCUGACGCUGAGGUGCGAAAGCCAGGGGAGCAAACGGG
rnacentral:rRNA from 1 species